CUUCUUGUUGUCACGUGCAGCAUUCCCAGCCAACUCAAGCACCUUCACAAUCCAAUCAAGACAAUUCAAUUUCACAACACAUAAUUAACCAUAGUCAAUCAAGAUUAAGCGAUGCAAAUUAAUGAUAUGUUACCUCAGCAGCUAGGUACUCGAGAACUGCGGCCAAGUAAACGGGAGCACCGGUACCGACACGCUGGGCGUACCUUCCUUUCUUCAAAUAACGGCCAAUUCUUCCGACGGGGAAUUGGAGACCGGCCUUGACGGACCUUGAAACCGGCUUCUUCUUAGGGCCGCCGCCCUUUCUUCCUCCGGCGCCCUUCUUGAUCUUUCCGCCAGCGUCCAUUUGGGAACCCUAGAAUGGGAAGAGGAAUAAUCAGAAGCGUGAGAGUGAUGGGAAGAUGUGUUGGCAGGGUUCCAUAUUAUAAAGCUUUGGAGUUUGGACACCUUUGAAGAGGAUCCAGCGCUGAGAAACGUGGACAGUUUGAUUAGCUCUUAUCCACGGCUCGCGAUUGCUUGUUUGGCAAUCCGUGUCCUUCGGAACCAGCCAAUGGAUGCAACUAUUGGGCACACACCUUUGUUUCAAAUUUUAAAAUAGGCUGAGAUGUGGAUAUCAACAACUAAAACAAACGCAUGCAGUGAACUUGUUUUAUUAAUUGAAAGAUAAAAUAAUAAAUAAUGUAUUUAUUAACCAGUGUCUAAAAGUAAAUUUUAUUCAUUAAAUAAUGUGUAAAAGAUAUAAAUGUAUUAAUUUUUACAUGUGAGAAACAUUUCAUUACAGUUUUAAUUAAAAUCAUGUGAGAAACUUUUAGAAAAUUCAUGGUUUUAAUUCCAAUCACCAAUUUCGAAUGUUUAUUUUGUAUUUUUUUUAAUUCUUUUUUAUAUAAAUUAUGUUUAUUAGAAAUUAAAUAAUUAAAAAUAUAUGUCACCUGAAUAAUAAACAAACACAUAUGUGAAUUAUUUUUAACGGAGUAUACAAAUCAAAGUUUGAGAUUGAUCCCGAUUACUAAAAUUGUUAACUUUUAGAAGUGAUCAUAAAAUAUUUCAAUAAAAAAAUAGAGUAAUAUUAAAUUAUUUUAAAAAUAAAAGAUAAAAUAUUUCAAUAAAAAAUUAAGAACAUUAAAAUUAUGUUUAAAUAAAUAAGAGAACGAAUAUUAUAUUUUAACAUAAAAAAUUAACAAAUAAAUCAAUGUGUUAAAAGUACUGUCUAUACUUAUCCUUUACUAAUAAUUGUGACGUGGUUACAAUAUCAUACCAAACGUUGACAAUCUUAAUGUCAAUGAAUUUUGCAUAUUGCAUUGUACUCAUUUUGUAUAUUACUCUCUAACUUAAUAUUAAAUUUAAAAUAGUCUUUAUCUUUGUAAAAGUGUUGUAAAAUAGUCCUUUUGAUAAAUUUUAAAAUAACACCAUUAAUGAGGUCAAUUUUAGUGUCACGUGGACUAUCCAAUGUGGCACUAAAGGAUGAUGUGGCAUGACACGUGAACGUGCUUCUUAAAAGAUGUCACAUCAUUUGAUGAUAACAAAACGAGUAAAUAGGCAACUUAAUUCCUGACUUUGUAUCCUCGUUGCAUAUUAGUCCCUAACUUAAUGAAAAAUUCAAAAUAGUCUUUAUCUUUUGCAUAAGUUUUGCAAAAUAGUCCUUUGAUUAAAUUUUAAAGUAAUGUUGUUAGUGAAGUCAAUUUUAGGUCACAUCAGUUGAUGAUGAUAGAAUGAGUAACUCCUUCAAAUUUGAUGGUUCUGAAUCAAUUGAGGCAUAUAUACGAAAAAGAACCCACAAACACUUGCACAAAUAAAAAGAACCAAAAAUCUAUAGCAACAACCUUAUUUCUGUAGCCGUCAACACCAAUGGGCGAGGUCUGCAUAACCAUUUUCUUUUCCUCUCUUUUUUUCUUCAAUUACCAUCAAUAUAUCAUUCCGGGUUCUGUUUUUUUUUGUGUGUGUUUUGAAUAGGAAGAGAAAAAAUCAGAGGAAAAGAAAGUGGAGGAGAAAAAAACAAAUGAAGAAGAAAAGAAAAAAUAAGAAAAAAUCAGAGGAAUCAAAAGAUGAUAAGGAAUCCAAGAAGAAAUCUGCGUUGCCAGAAAUCGUGUUAGGCACAACCUUUGCAAUGCAUGGACACUUUAAGCACGAUUUUCGACAUCUUUUAAGUUAGGGACUAUUUUGCAACACUUAUGUAAAAGAUAGAGACUAUUUUGAAUUUCUCAUUAAGUUAAGGACUAAUAUGCAACAGGGGUACAAAGUCAGGGACUAAAUUGCCUAUUUACUCAUUUUGUUAUCAUCAAAUGACGUAACAUCUUUUAGAAGGCACGUCCACGUGUCAUGUCACGUCAUCCUUUAGUGUCACGUUGGAUAGUCCACGCGUCACUAAAAUUGACCUCACUAACGGCGUUACUUUGAAAUUUAAUGGAAGAACUAUUCUGCAACAUUUUUGCAAAGAUAGAGACUAUUUUGAAUUUAAUAUUAAGUUAGGGACUAAUAUGCAAAAUGAGUACAAUCUCAGGGACUAAAUUGCUUAUUCACUCUAUUAAAAUCAUAUAUCACCUUUAUGUAGGGCAGUCCAACAUAAAGUGACUAAAACUUAACCUUUAAUCUAUCAAUUAAAAAAAUAUUUAUUAGUUUUGUAAAACCAAAAAGGCUCCAAAUACAAGAAAAAAGUCACACAUACAACUCGUUUAAAAUUCAAAAGUCUCUAUCAAAUUUUGUUUCGAACCUCGCUUAUUUUUAGGUUAACCAUGUUUAUAUAAAAUUAACUUUAUGUUUUUAAAAAAUUUAUAACUUAAAUAUACAGCACAUUUAAAAUUAUAUAUUUAUCUAAAUAUCAACUUUUAUCCAAAAAAAUCUAAAUAUUAAGCUAAUAUGACCAUUAUAUAAAACUCGACAAUGGAAAUGCAAGAUAUAUAAAUGUGAUAAAUAUUUAAGGGAGAAUUUUAUUACUCAUAAUAAUCAUAUUCAGCUUAAAUAAGAUUAUCUCUGAUAACACAUGUUGUUUAGACAAAAUAAAAACAUUGAAAUCACUUAAUUUUAAUUUGGGAAGUAAUAUAUUGUUGAAAAUUAAUUAUUUUAUCACAGCCAAAUUAUUUUUAAUUUGAAGGAAAAGUCAAACUCUAAUAUUAAAAGAUUUACCGUGCUUUGUUUUUUUGUUAGAAACGUACCAAACAAACAUUUAAGAAUAAGCAAGAAUUUGUUGUUUUUCACAACACUAUGUUUUGGAAUGCAUGCUUACAAAGUGAAAAAAAAAAUUGUUCCUGUCACAAAUGUACCGGACUAUUGUCCUUCUGGCAUAGGGUGUUCUAUUGUAUCAAAUGACACUCUGGCAGCAUUUAGCUCAAGUCUUUGGUGUACGUGCCCAUCCGAAAUAGCUUGGAGGGAUACCUACAAAAGGUGGUCUGCUCAAGUUAGAAAUCGACAAGUUGUUACUGAUAUGUAAUAAAUGUUUGAGAAUGAAUCUUUUUUCCUACCUAGGGGUUCUUUUAAUAAUGGCCUUACUGGACCUGAGAUUUACGGGCCAGUCUUGAUUACCAGUUAAAUAGUAUGUCUCUUAAUCAUGUUUAAACACUUCUAAUCAAAUAAUUAUUUUUAAUUGGAUUUAUUAAUGAUAAUCAUGAUCAAAAGGUAUUCGUCAAAGACCGGGACAUGUUAUACGGAGUGGAUACAUGGUCGAGAGAAUACUUGAUUUGGUUACGCCAAGUUUCCUCUUAGCCUAACGGAAUACUUUUAAGCAUUUCAAGUAUACUACUUACCUAACUAAUGACUAAAACACUUGUUAUUUAUAUUAAUUCAAUUCUCUUUUCAUAAUUUUCGGAUUUAAAUUUAAGAGCAGUAAGUAUUGCGAUGGCCUAUAGGUUGAAAUAAAGUGGAACCAUCAAUUAUAAACUAAUUUACCAAUUAUUUGAAAUUUUAUAAACUUGAUUUAUUUUAUAAAAAAAAAACUUAUUGAACUAAUAAAAUAUGUAUUUUAAGAUAAAAAGUUAUUAAGAUUUCACUUUACUAGUUGGCACGACACUAUACAGAAUACGUUACUCAAAAACAAAAAGUUGACACCACACUUCCAUAGAUCAAGAGCAAGAGUUAUCAAAUUUAAACAAACACCAAAAAAGAGAAUUUCGGCAAAGCAAUUUCAAGUGGAAACCAGGUAUAUUUUCAGCCUUUCCAACCUACCAUAACAGCAAAAUUUCAAGAAGAAAAAUUUCAACCAUUCAAGCUAUAAGUCAACGCUAUGUAACUUGCUAAUUACAUCCACGUCAAAAACAGUAGCAACGCAACAGUCCAUUCAAAUUAUGAAAAUUCACUCGAACUAAAGUCUAUAGGAGAGCAUGAGGGGAGAGCGUGCACUAGAAAUGAGAGUCCACAUUUAUAUCACCAAAAGUUCAUGUUAAAACGAGUGUGUAAAAAUUAAUUGGUUUUGAAUUAUUUUAAUCGAUUUGAUUUUAUAUUGAAAUAGUCAAAUUAAUUUAGAAACUGGUUCAAAAUCGAAUUGAUUUUAAAAAAAUGGUUCUAAACUAAAUUAAACUAAUUUUUAAUCAAUUUUAAACUAUUUUUAAGAGUCGAAUUAGUUUUAAAUUAGUUUUCAAACUAAUUUUGACAUAUUUCUUUCAAAUAAAAAAAUAUUUAAAUAAAAAUCAGUUCGAUUUUAGGUGAGUAACCAAACUAGUUUGAUAGAAACAAUUCAAUUAAUCGAAUUAAUUUUAUAAAAUAGUAUACUCAUUUAUUUCUUGAAUUAAUUUUAAAAAAAUAUCAAUUCAAUUUAAAUUUGAUUAUAAUCCAAUUUAAUGUAAACCGAUUUUUUUAAGCACUCCUACUCAACCUAUUGCGUCCCAUCUCAAAUACAAGGAGGUUUCUUAUAUUGCUUGCUACUCUUCAGUUUCCACUAUAUAUAUUAUAUACAUCAAAUCAAAAACUGCAGCAAGGGUAAUUUAGUGCAAUAUUCGUACUUCCAGGAAUCUAAUCAAACUAGUUAAGAGUGUUUGAUGUAGAAGUGACCUGUUUGUAACUCCAGCAUUGGUAUCAUUGUUACAGGAUUUCUCCUAAACAAUUUAAUCAAAUCUUUGCAGAAGAAGUAGUGUGGUAACUAUGUCUAAACACAAAAACAUGAUAAUAGCUUACAAACAAGAAACAAAAACAAACCGUGUUUUCACCUUUUAAACACCAGGGAACGAAUUUCCCUUGCACAGUCUGGUUAAGGGAUAACCAUAAUCAUGAGAUUAAGAAAGCGAGAACAUGAAAAGCGAAACAACUUGGUCUCAAAUCUUUCGUAGAAAUAACACGUGCCGAUUCAUGUUAAUGUGCAACUUUACCAACCAAGACAUUUGCAAUAAGUAAGAAUUUGAAUGAGCAUACAAAACUAAUUUUGAAUAAAAUUAAUUUUAAAAUUAUGUGACUUAUGUUUUAAGUUUCAUUGUAAAAUCAACUUAAAAGUAAAAUUUAAUAAAAAAUUCAAAACUACACAAUUAUUUGAAUUUAUAAUCAUUCUGGAUCCAAAUUUAAUUAUAAAUUCUUCUCCAACUAAAUUACAAAGAAAGUCUCAAAAACAAUCAAAUCAAGCAAAUGCAUAAUUUGACAUUAAACUCUUGUCACUGCCUACAAUAGUGCUAAGUAACAUACUAUCAACGUCCAUUUCUUUCUUGGAUCACACAUACACCUAUCCAAACAAUAAUUAUGAUGGAAAUUCAAAUCGUCUAAAUCAAAUUGCGCAAUCUUUCGAUAGAGAGAAGGCGGGAUACAAUUAUACGAAUAUAAGAAAAUUAAAUCAAUCCAUUACUGAGAGCUUGCUGUCUCAACAGAUUGAAUGAAAAUGUGAAAAAGAAACAGCGACUUGAGAACUACAAAUAAUGGUGAUACAAGAAGGAACCUAAACACAGAUUUACAUUUUGUGCACACUAAAUAGAGAAACAAUAAACUAAGUCAGUUAAGACUUUUUAGGAGAUUUAGUAGCCUUGGAUGGAGACUUAGGCUCCUUGGAAGCCCUCUCAGUCUUCUUAGGCAACAAAACAGGGUUAAUGUUCGGAAGAACACCACCAUGAGCAAUGGUGACACCAGCAAGCAAUUUCCCCAACUCCUCAUCGUUCCUCACAGCCAAUAGCACAUGUCUCGGAAUAAUCCUGUUCUUCUUGUUGUCACGUGCAGCAUUCCCAGCCAACUCAAGCACCUUCACAAUCCAAUCAAGACAAUUCAAUUUCACAACACAUAAUUAAUCAUAGUCAAUCAAGAUUAAGUGAUGCAAAUUAGUGAUAUGUUACCUCAGCAGCUAGGUACUCGAGAACUGCGGCCAAGUAAACGGGAGCACCGGUACCGACACGCUGGGCGUACCUUCCUUUCUUCAAAUAACGGCCAAUUCUUCCGACGGGGAAUUGGAGACCGGCCUUGACGGACCUUGAAACCGGCUUCUUCUUUGGGCCGCC
rnacentral:lncRNA from 1 species